AUUGAACGCUGGCGGCAGGCCUAACACAUGCAAGUCGAGCGGAUGAAGGGAGCUUGCUCCUGGAUUCAGCGGCGGACGGGUGAGUAAUGCCUAGGAAUCUGCCUGGUAGUGGGGGAUAACGUCCGGAAACGGGCGCUAAUACCGCAUACGUCCUGAGGGAGAAAGUGGGGGAUCUUCGGACCUCACGCUAUCAGAUGAGCCUAGGUCGGAUUAGCUAGUUGGUGGGGUAAAGGCCUACCAAGGCGGCGAUCCGUAACUGGUCUGAGAGGAUGAUCAGUCACACUGGAACUGAGACACGGUCCAGACUCCUGCGGGAGGCAGCAGUGGGGAAUAUUAGACAAUGGGCGAGAGCCUGAUCCAGCCAUGCCGCGUGUGUGAAGAAGGUCUUCGGAUUGUAAAGCACUUUAAGUUGGGAGGAAGGGCAGUAAGUUAAUACCUUGCUGUUUUGACGUUACCAACAGAAUAAGCACCGGCUAACUUCGUG
rnacentral:rRNA from 1 species